rnacentral:tRNA from 1 species
GGUGGUUUGGCUCGGUGGUUAGAGCGUAGGUAUAUAGUCCGAAAGGUUGCGGGAUCGAAUCCCGCUAGAGGCUG